rnacentral:rRNA from 1 species
CACGUAGGGGGCGAGCGUUGUCCGGAUUUAUUGGGCGUAAAGAGCUCGUAGGCGGCUCGGUAAGUCAGGUGUGAAAACUCUAGGCUCAACCUAGAGACGCCACCUGAUACUGCUGUGGCUAGAGUCCGGUAGGGGAGCAUGGAAUUUCCGGUGUAGCGGUGAAAUGCGUAGAUAUCGGAAGGAACAUCAGUGGCGAAGGCGACCUCCUGGGCUAAUACUGACACUUAGGUGCGAAAGCGUGGGGAGCAAACAGG